GACGAACGCUGGCGGUGUGCUUAACACAUGCAAGUCGAACGGUAAGGCCCUUUCGGGGGUACACGAGUGGCGAACGGGUGAGUAACACGUGAGUAACCUGCCCUCAUCUCUGGGGUAACAGUCGGAAACGGUUGCUAAUACUGGAUAUGAGCUUGCAAGGCAUCUUGUGGGUUGGAAAGAUUUUUUUGGUUGGGGAUGGACUCGCGGCCUAUCAGCUUGUUGGUGAGGUAGUGGCUCACCAAGGCUUCGACGGGUAGCCGGCCUGAGAGGGCGACCGGCCACAUUGGGACUGAGAUACGGCCCAAACUCCUACGGGAGGCAGCAGUGGGGAAUAUUGCACAAUGGACGGAAGUCUGAUGCAGCAACGCCGCGUGCGGGAUGACGGCCUUCGGGUUGUAAACCGCUUUCAAUUGUGACGAAGCUUUUUGUGACGGUAGCAGUAGAAGAAGCACCGGCUAACUACGUG
rnacentral:rRNA from 1 species